GACGAACGCUGGCGGCGUGCUUAACACAUGCAAGUCGAACGGAAAGGCCUGCUUUCCCUUGUGGAUUGCGGGUACUCGAGUGGCGAACGGGUGAGUAACACGUGAGUGAUCUGCCCCCAACUUGGGUAUAAGCCUGGGAAACUGGGUCUAAUUCCCGAUAGGACUGCAGGGUGGUGCCUGUGGUGGAAAACGAUUUUCUAGUGGUUGGGGAUGAGCUCGCGGCCUAUCAGCUUGUUGGUGGGGUAAUGGCCUACCAAGGCGGCGACGGGUAGCCGGCCUGAGAGGGUGGACGGGCACAUUGGGACUGAGAUACGGCCCAGAAUACGACGGGAGGCAGCAGUGGGGAAAAUUGCACAAUGGGCGGAAGAAUGAGGGAGCGACGCAGCGUGGGGGAUGACGGGCGUCGGGUUGGAAACUCCUUUCGACCGCGAGGAAGCCACCUGGUUGGAAGGGUGGUGACGGUAGUGGUAGAAGAAGCACCGGCUAACUACGUG
rnacentral:rRNA from 1 species